AUGGAACGCUGGCGGCAUGCUUUACACAUGCAAGUCGAACGGUAACAGGCCGCAAGGUGCUGACGAGUGGCGAACGGGUGAGUAAUGCAUCGGAACGUGCCCAGUCGUGGGGGAUAACGCAGCGAAAGCUGCGCUAAUACCGCAUACGAUCUAUGGAUGAAAGCGGGGGACCGUACGGCCUCGCGCGAUUGGAGCGGCCGAUGUCAGAUUAGGUAGUUGGGGGGGUAAAGGCUCACCAAGCCGACGAUCUGUAGCUGGUCUGAGAGGACGACCAGCCACACUGGGACUGAGACACGGCCCAGACUCCUACGGGAGGCAGCAGUGGGGAAUUUUGGACAAUGGGCGCAAGCCUGAUCCAGCAAUGCCGCGUGCAGGAAGAAGGCCUUCGGGUUGUAAACUGCUUUUGUACGGAACGAAACGGCUCUGGUUAAUACCUGGGGCUAAUGACGGUACCGUAAGAAUAAGCACCGGCUAACUACGUGCCAGCAGCCGCCGUAAGAC
rnacentral:rRNA from 1 species